rnacentral:rRNA from 1 species
AUGGAAAGGUUUCUAAAAAAGAGGAGAACCUCAGUGCAAGAUGAAAAUGUUGGUCCGUCACACGAACAUAAUCAGAACGAUGGCUCAGUUCCGCCACCAUCGGAUGGACAAAUUGAUGCAUCACCACAUGAACAGACUGAUGUUCCAGCCCCGCCAUCACCACAUGGACAAAAUGAUGCCUCCACACAUGAACCUAGUUCUGCCAAUACUACAAGGAAUUCAUCUCAAGUUGAAGAGAUCAAUUGGGAAGAAGAAAUUCAGUUUGAUCCAGGUAAAAGGAGAAGCAUAGAUGAGUACCAUCCCAAUCAGAGAGAUAUGGUAAGAAGGAAGUAUUUGGCCAAUGGCCCUUGUCAACCUCGUAUUGCUGAUUUUGAUGUGACAGAAAUAUGUGGUAAGGAUAGAAGGUUCGUUCGGGAAUGGUUUGAUGAGUUUGGGAGCUGGACCCCGCAAGAAGAAAGAAGCCGGAUAUCAUGCAUUUGUUGCAAAUGGUUGGUCAAGUUGAAAUAAAAAAUAUAGAUUAAAGGAGCAUGUAGGAGACAUCAAUAGUGCUCACAACCAAGCAAAAAGAGAUUGUGAUGCAUUGCUGAAACAAAAG